rnacentral:rRNA from 1 species
CAGCAGCCGCGGUAAUACGUAGGGUGCGAGCGUUAAUCGGAAUUACUGGGCGUAAAGCGUGCGCAGGCGGUUGUGUAAGACAGGUGUGAAAUCCCCGGGCUUAACCUGGGAACUGCGCUUGUGACUGCACAGCUAGAGUAUGGCAGAGGGGGGUGGAAUUCCACGUGUAGCAGUGAAAUGCGUAGAGAUGUGGAGGAACACCGAUGGCGAAGGCAGCCCCCUGGGCCAAUACUGACGCUCAUGCACGAAAGCGUGGGGAGCAAACAGGAUUAGAUACCCCUGUAGUCCCUGUCUCUUAUAC